AUCAGUGUAGUGUAGUGGUUUGACUGUGGACUGUGACUCUGGAGACCAGAGUUUGAAUCCCUGUUCAGCUA